rnacentral:rRNA from 1 species
UUUGUAUGUUAUAUAAUAUAAGAUAUAGCCUGCCCGUUGAUGAAUUUGAAAGGCCGCGGUAAUUUGACCGUGCAAAGGUAGCAUAGUCAUUAGUUCUUUGAUUGGGAACUUGUAUGAAAGGCUGGAUGAGAAAUAAUCUGUCUUAUUCAUAAAAAUUGAAUUUGACUUUUAAGUGAAAAGGCUUGAAUUUAAUAAAGGGACGAUAAGACCCUAUAAAACUUAAUAUUAAAUGGAUUAUAUCUUAUAGUUUUGUGUUUAGUAAGAAAUAAUUUAUUUAUAUUUUACUGGGGCGGUAAGAAUAUAAUAAAUUAACUGUUCAUGGGAGAUGGCAAUCUAAUUGCUUUUGAGGAUCCUUUAAUUAAGAUUAAAAGAAUAAGUUACUUUAGGGAUAACAGCGUUAUUUUUUUUAAGAGUUCAUAUCGACAAAAAAGAUUGCGACCUCGAUGUUGAAUUAAAAAUUCCUUAUAAUGCAGCAGUUAUAAAGGAAGGUCUGUUCGACCUUUAAAUUUUUACA